rnacentral:lncRNA from 10 species
CUCAGCCUCCCAGGUAGCUGGGACUACAGGUGCAUGCCACCACGCCCCGCUAAUUUUUGUAUUUUUAGUAGAGAUGGGGUUUCGCCAUGUUGGCCAGGCUGGUCUCGAACUGCUGACCUCAGGUGAUCCACCCGCCUCUGCCUUCCAAAGUGCUGGGAUUACAGGUGUGAGCCACCGCACCAGGCCGCAUGAAUAUCUUUAUUCAUGAGCCUGGAUCCCUAAGAAUGAGGGUGCCUCUGACUAUUCUUAAUUCGUUCAGCAGUCACAUUCAUCGCACAACACCCAAAGACAUAUUUGGUCUGCAGUUCGCACCUAUUCCUCUGGAGCUUUGAACAGUUAAUAAACAUUAGCUCGUUAGCAUUAAUUAAAAGGCAUCUUAUUACAGCAGGAUCCAGAGUUACCACCUAGCCACUCUAAAAACCAGCGGUCGGCUUGACUUCCAGCAAAGCCUCUUUUAUCGAUGGCUUCUGUGGGUGUAGUUAACCUCCGCCGUCCCCCGUCUGAUCUCAUUAUUUCAGAUCCUCGCAUCCUGGCUGGCUUUGCCUUCUCUCUCUCCUCGAUCCUCCCUUUACAUAAAUGCGAUUGUUUCGUUGCUUCCUUCCUCGGAGCCCGGGUUUUGUCCGGGCUUGGCUCGGUUUGCGCGUUUAAGAACGAGCGCCUAGGCCUCCGGGCAAGGGUCUAGAGCUCCCGCAGCCCUUCACUGGGUGACCUCCUCCUGUCGGGGCCAUUUGUCUUCAGGGCCUCUCUUUGAGGCUCUGAACAGGACGCUCCAAGUGGGGCCCGAGCGCUUGGCAGACAAGCCCCUGGAUUGUUGCUAGAGACCCUCAGGUCGCCUUGGGGCGGAGCGCGCCUUUCAUGAAUCCGGGAGCCUGGGAUGCGCAUGGCGAGGAGGGGGGAAACGUGCUGGGGAGAAGGCAGGCCUUGAUGUACGCCCUGGUGGACAAAAGCUGCUAGUGUCAGCUUGAUUUGCAAGAUCAACAUUCAUGAGUUUCACCGCUUAGAAAGGGGCAUUAUCUGCAAACCGGAGACUGAAUGGAAGCCAUAAACAAGUGAUUUCACACUACCAAGCAGGAAGAAUAUUCUACCUCCUCAAUUAUUCUGAACAGCAUGUUUGGCCCCUUCCAGGUUCCCACCGCUAGCGAGCCCUCCACCCCUGGUGUGUGCAAACGGUGGACCUUUCGGCGCCUAAGAAACCGGGUGCUGAGCCCGGGAGCAGCGCCUGCUUUUCUUCCCAAGAUCCACUCCGGGUUUUGCCUAGCGCUGCUCCGGGAACCCAUUCCAGACGCAGGUAACGCCAGGCAACGUUUUCCUUCUCACCCGCCCAAGGCCAGCCCCGAGCCGCCGGGGUUCCAGGCCCAACACAGCACAGAUGCACGUUUCAAAAUGUGCUCGAAUAUGCAGCCUGCAUCAAAGGCGUUGGGAGGCUCUUUCAUCCUCUCAGCUGCCUAAGAAGGGACAUGCUCCCAGCUACCCUCAUUUGUGGCUGGGUUUACUCUGAAAUGAAGAUGUACCUCUGGAUGCAAAAAGAAAGGGUGGAAGGUUUUUUUCCCCCUACUUCUUGCACCCGAUUUCUCAUUUUGCCUCGCCCUCAUCCUCAUCCUUUGUGUAUGCCAGGCUGUGUUAACCCUUUGAGAACCCCCGUGGCUUGCUCUUUUCUUUCUUCCUUACGGUUGUCAUCCGGUUUGUAGCCUGACUUCUUCGGCCUGUCACGUACCCCUUUCCUUUUCCUGGAAGUGGUUUUGUUGUAGGACAGCCACAGGUGGACGGCUGGACCUUACCAAGCUUUGAAGGGCGAGGACCGGGCGAAGGCAAAACCUGGGAAGGCUCUGGCUGCCGCCAGAGGACCGGGCGGAGCAACCACAGUCACUGUGGUUAUCAUGUCCAGCCUCCUGGGACCUCCACUUAGCUUGGCUGUCACCCUGACCCCCGCCCGCACCUCCCCAGCUGCUGAUCUCGGGGAGGCAGCCCUCCCUGAGGUGCUGAGGGCAGGACCCUGGCGAGCAGAAGUGAAGGGUUUAAGAGCCAUCUCCCUACUAGAAUGGUGCCCUGAUGUUUAAUGGCAAAUUACCCAGCAAGCACCUAUUUUUAAAACUUUCACCCCUUUUCCUUGGGAACCCCCCACUGUUAUGGAAAAUUUAAGCCUUUAAAGAAAACACGUGUGAGUGUGUGUAUGUGUGUGUGUGCGCGCGCAUGAGCAUGAGAGAGAGAGAGAGAGAAAGAGAUAGCUGUCGAGGUAAGUUGAGAGAUGGAGGGGAGGGGAAGGAUUUCAGCAUCAUGACGUAGUAUAGGAGGAAGCUUUGUUCCUGGAGGAUUGAUUUUGUGAGGGAGGGCAGAACCAGACAACAAGGAACAUUUAGAUAAUACGUCUGUACUCCGUAAAGGUGAGGGUCUACAACAGUCAUCUAAGGCAGUGACAGACAUGGGUCUGCACACUGAAACCGCAGGGUGUCAACAAGGCACAGAAAAGAAUGCAAUGUAGGGCGCAGUCCUUUGGCUGGGCUAGGCGUGAAGCAUUCCUGAGAAAGGUCUACACUAUGAAGCCAGCUCACUGUAGACUUGGGACUCACUGAUCAGCCUUGGCUCUCUGUGGAGACUCAGGUGUUUGCUAAAUGAACAUAAGAUACUGCAGAGAAGGCUGCUAGUCUCCAAAGCUCAUGGAAAGCGUUUCUUCCUGACCAACUGCAAAAGAGUGGAUGUAUACUGUGCUAACCUUUGUGAGGAAAAGGAAAAAUGGGAGAAAUACAUGUACCUGCAUAUCUUUCAAAAAAAUAGAAAUAUAGGAGGAAUAAACCAGUAAAGAAUGAAGUGAGAUGAAGCAGGUCACCUAACAAGAAGGUGGGAAACAGGGUGGAAGGAAUAUGAGAGGGAGAAACACUUCUAUGGUAUAGCUCUUUGUAUUAUUUUUGAUUUUUGGAAGUUUAUUAAUGUUCUAUUUAUUUAAAAGAUUAAACCAAAAAGUAUGGGAAGGGAGAAAAAACUAAAAACCAAACUGAAAAAAAUAAACUCAACUGUAUUUCAAAUGAAUAACCACACUGAAAGGGGGAAAAAGAAAUCUGAGUAGUUUAUGAAUACCCAUUAGACCAUAUUCCAUUAGACUUAGGUAGCGUGGGAGUCAGGAAGGACUUAAACACUAAACUCUUUUUACUGGGUUUGUUUUUGUACAGCAUGGACACAGAAGGAUUCUGAAAUGAUUUUAGAUAUUUCGUGGUAUUGAGCAAAUCAGUAAACACAUUGUUGUUGAGAUCCAGAGUUCUCACUGUGGAGAAGAAAGUUACAAAUACAGAAAGAGAGAAGACAUGGAUGUAAGAAGAAUGGACUGCAAUUGGAGGUAUUGCUGUGGACUCAUAAUUUCUGAAAUGUGUAUAUAUGUGUAUGUAUUAAUGUGAUACAUAUAUAUGUAUAUCUAUCUCCUGGCUUUGCCCACUGAAGCAGAAAUCUUGGUAGCAGUGGCCAUACCUAACAGCGACACCUUGCUUUUGAAUGUAGUAUUCUAACUAAGAGGAAUAAGGGAUCCUUAGAGAAAAAAUGUUUCCAGGGCAGAGGCAGGAAAUACGUAAGAUAAGCCUGGAACUUUUUUUUUUAAUCGAGGUGAAAUUCACAUAACAAAAUCAAUCAUGUUAAAGUGUAUAAUCCCGUGGCAUUUAGUACAUUCCCAGGGUUGUGCAACCACCUCCUCUAUUUAGUGAGGGCCUGAAAUGUCUUGUUAUUCCAGAAUGUAAGGAAAUGUACAAAACAUACUGGGGGCAUGUCAUGAGGACAGAGGAAGCAGGCUGGAACGGCUUCCCCUGCCCAUGUCUGGGACAGUUUGAAUACCAAAAUAAUUAUUGGUAGCAACAAAGUAUAAAACAUUGAAAAAGUGUAUAGAAUCCAUUCUAUAUACUCAUAAGCAUAGAAAUAAAUAAGUAAAUGUGUGAGAAGGAUGGCUCUUUUUACAGUAGACUACUGUUAUAAACAGAAUUGUGUCCUCCUAAAAUGUGUAUGUUAAAGCUGUAACCCCUAAUGUGACUGUAUUUGGAGAUAGGGCCUUUAAGGAGGUAAGCAGGGUUAAAUGGGGUCAAUAGGGUGGGGCCCACAUCCAAUAAAACUAGUAUCCUUAAAGGAAGAGGAAGAGACACCUGGGGCAUGUACACAGAGAAAGACCAGCGAGGACACAGCAAGAAAGCUGUCAUCUACAAACCAAAGAGAGAGGUUCAAGAAAAACCUACUCUGCUGGCACCUUGAUCUUGGAUGUCCAGCCUCUGAACUGUGAGAAAGAAAUGUCUGAUGCUGAAGGCACCCAGUAGGUGGUAUUUAGUUAUGGCAGCCUGAGCAGGCUAAUACAAAUACCUAGUGUCAACUGGUAGAUGUAGCAGGAGAGCUGGAGUUGGGGGAAAAAAGUAUUAUUUUACCACCACUGUGUACUUAAGAUUGUUUCUGGCAAGAGUCACCCAAUGUUCAAUUUAGAUAAAAUUUUGGUGACGAAUGAGCAAUUUACAUGUUCUUAAAAUGUCUCCUCAUAGAUUGCCUUUUGGUUGCAAGGGGAACAAUAAUAAUUACACAGUGCAGAAAUCAGAUACCCCUUUGACUAGUGACUGAAAUGAACAUCACCAAUAAAGGACAGACAGACAUCAUGUGCCUCUGGAUACGAUGCCCCAAAGAGGAGGUAAUACUACUCUUGUACUAUUUGACUGGAAAUGCAUAGCCUGAGUUUAAUGAUGAGGAAGCGUUAUAGAAGCCCCAAACAAGGAACAUUCCAUCUUACAAACAGGAACUGUUUUUAACAUGUCAGUGUCAUAAAGAAGAAAAAAAUCUAAAGAGAUAUGUCAACUCACUACGAUAUAUGAUUUUAGACUGAAUCCUGUACUGAAAAAACAUUACUGUGUCUGAUAGGCAGCCACUAAAAUGGUCCCACUUCCAGAUAUUUGCCCCUCUGUAUAAUCAUUUCCCUUGAAUGUAGGCUGAACUAACGACUUACUGACUUGCUUUUAAUGAAUAGAAGAUGGUAGAAGUAAUAGAAUGUCACUUCAAAGAUAAGGUUACAAAGAAAUGCUGGAAGUUUCUACCUGUGGGGCUUGUUCCCUCACUUAUUCUAAGGUACUAGCUGCCAUGCUGUGAGCAGCCCUAUGGAGAGGACCAUGUGGUGAAGAUAUGAGAGAAACUUCUGGUCAACAGCCAGUGAAGUACUGAAUCCUGCCAACAACCAUGUGAGUGAGCAGGAAAGUGGAUCCUCCCCACACUGAGCCUUCAGAUGAGACCACAGCCCUAGCCUACACAUUGAUUAUAACCUGGUCAAAGGACCCAGCUAGGCCACAUGCAUACACCUAACUCACAGAAACUGAGAUCAUAAAUGUUUGCUACUUUCAACUGCUAAGUUUUGAAGUAACUUGUUAUGUAUCUAUAGAUAACUAACACACCAUGUUCCUUGAC